UCGCCCACUUAUCUCUUAACCAUAAUAUAACAUCCAGAGUGUCCUCCACUAAGCGAGUAACGAAUUCUAGCAUCCAAGCUAAAAUUGUAAAACUCAAUUUCUUUCUUUAAAUUCUGUUUGGCUGAAAUCCACUUUCUCAGUUCACAGAAAACAUAAUAUAUUUUCGCACUAAUGUCAAUGAAAUUCCACACAUACAUAUAUCCAUGUCUAUAAAAACACAUAACACAUAACAACACAUCGUAUUAACACAUCACAUAGACAUAUGGGACAAAACAUACAAAUCCAUAUCCAUACAUAUCAAAAUAAGAUUUUCAAAUAUGUAUCGAUGUUAUCGGCCUAAAAUAAAUAAAAAUACUCUCAUAAGAUAAAAUCAUAUCAUAAUCGUAAACUCCAAUAUUCUCAAAUUCCUCAAUAUAACACCUUCUAAACUUAACCUCAAAUAAUCUCAAUUUAAAUCUUAUAUGUAAAUUAUCGAGAUGCCCUCAAAAUCGUAAAUUACAUAAAUAAUCUCAAAAUUCUGAAAUCAUAAAUUACCAAAUCAUUCUCAGGCAAUUACUAAAAUUAGCCACAAAGUUUGAAAUUACAAAAUUGCCCUCAAGUUCUACAAAAUUAUCAAAAUGCCCUAGCCGACCAACGGUGUCCGGAAUUCUUGCGACGGUGGCCGGGAAGGUCGGAAUAGAAGCUUCGUGCCUCGCUGAAUCCAACGGUUGCGGCGGUGUGCUUCGACGCGCGGCCACGGCGGUAGAUCGGCCUCGACAGCCAUGAGAACUCCAACGGCUGCACGGGGUCUAAUCCGCAGCUCCUGGUGGCUGUCGCCGGUCGGAGUUUGAAGUAACAGCCAUGUGGGACAAGAUCCAAGCAACGGCACGGCCUAAAACCAGCGAAAUCGCGGCAAAACGAGGUGACCGUUUGCAGCGGCUGAUCGCGGUUUCGAACGGCAGCCUCUGGCCAUUUUCCGGUGGCUAGAAUGGUUGGAAAAUGAUCACUAGCUCUUGGGAGUUCGAUUGGUACCUCCUGUCGCCGGUGGGGCGGUCGAAAAUCGGAUAUGCAGCCGGGAGCCUUGGCGGGUUCUAGUCGGGUUUUCGGGUCGGGUUUGGCAGCUCUCUCUCUUUCUCUCGCUUUGUUCUCUCUUUUUUUUUUUUUUUUUUAAAUGAAGGGCAGGUGAAAAUUUAGUCAAAGCGUGGAGUGGGGUAUUACAAAACAGAAUAUCCGCAAAAUCUUUUUCGGCUUCGGCAAACGCGACCUUGGUAGCUGUCACAAGGCUAUUUUCUUUGAUGCGGCAAGCCCGUGAUAGCGCUAAGUUUUCUACUGAGCCAGCCACUCGACAAUUCGCAACGGAGGCUACGUGUGUGAAACACACCCCAAGAUUUUCAACGAUACAACAACCGAAACACAACACAAACACAAGGCACCGACUUCCAACCUUUUCUUAUUAAUCAAGAACAAGGAACUACAAAUAGCUUCCAGCAAGAAUGCUUGGAGAAAACCACUCACUGUCUACAAAACUUGGCUCCCCAAGCUCUCCCCCCAUAAUGCUACUUAUAGCAUUUGUAAGUGACAGCCCCACUUACUAGGAUAGCAUAGAUUAUUCCCCAACCCAUACCUUGUUUGCCACCAGCACACAUAAACAAAUAAGCCCACUACCUAAGUGCAUUGCCCAUACACUAUUGUUUAGGUUACAUUGAAUAGUGGCGGACCAUCCCCACUUAGACAAGAUCCCCAUUAUAGGUAGUGCCCAUGCAGUGGUGGGCCGCCGCCACUAAGAAUUGCUCCAACAAUCCUCUUGGCCUGAUGCUUGUGUGCGGAACAUGUUCUGUGCGUGUGCGUUCUAUUGGCGCACCUGACCGCUAUCCGUUAGCGUGCGCGUGCGCGCAGCCUGGCACGCUUUGUGUGCGCGCAUUCUGCUUGGCGCGCUCUUGCGUCAGCACUUGCCCGCUGCGUAGGCUCGCUCGCUGCCCAUCAGCGUGUUCAUGCCUUGCACGCAUUUGCGUGCGCGCUAUACCCCGGGAGCACUUGUGCGCUGCCUCGCACAUAUCUCGCGCGCGCUGCCCAUCAGCCCGCUAGUUGCUACCACGCCCCAGCCCGCGUGCAGACUUGCCUUGUUUUCUCGCACGCUUGUUGCCACAUUAUGCUUGGCACAAGGCCGCUAGCCAAGCAUUGGUGUGCCUCGAGUUUAACUUGUUGGCGCCCCGUGUCGGCCAAGUCGUCAUUGAAGGGUUUAAGGAAACUUACAUGAAAUGUAGGAUGAAUUUUCAACUGCUCAGGCAGCCGUAACCGAUAUGCAACCUGACCCACCUUCUUCAUUACCUCAAAUGGUCCGUCAUACUUCGGCACCAGCCCUCGAUGCACCAUUUUGCUGUUUAAUUUCUUCCAAAUUUGGGGCGUUAGUUUCAGCAACACCUUGUCACCCACAUUGAACUCCAGCGGUCGUCUUCCAGAAUCCGCAUACUUCUUCAUUCGUCGCGAUGCCUUCGCCACGCUAUCAAUGGCCCUCUCGAUCAUUUUUUGCUUGUCUCGUUCGAAUCGGUAAGCUGCAGGGCAUUUCCCGCCAGUAUGUUGUUUUGCCACUUCGUGAGGAGUCAAUGGUUGCUGCUCCAUGACCAGCUCCGCUGGGAUCAUCCCCGUUGCCGAAUAGCGAUGAAUGUUAUUGCAAAAUUGAGCCAUAUCCAGCAAGUCCACCCAAUUCUUUUGGCUUGUUGUCACAUAAUGCUGCAAGUAUUCCUCUAACAAUGCAUUCACCCUCUCCGUUUGUCCAUCCAUUUGAGGAUGAUUGGCAGUAGAAAACUUCAAUUAUGUCCCCAUUAAAUUGAAGAGCACUGUCCAAAAUCUUCCGGUGAACCGAGUAUCCUGGUCACUAAUGAUGUCCUCCGGAACACCAAAAUAUUUUACCACAUACUUGAAAAACAGCUCCGCUGUCUUGUCCGCUGGGCAAGCAUGAGGUGCAGGCAUAAAUAUCGCAUAUUUUGAAAAUCGAUCAACCACAACAAGAACCGAUUUCUGCCCAUCCGACUUAGCUAUUCCUGAAAUGAAAUCUAUUGAGACAGAUUGCCAAGGUCUCUCCGGAUUUGGCAAUGGUUGUAGAAGUCCCGCUGGCUUCCUCUUCUCCGACUUGUCUAAUUGACACAUUAGGCAAGUUUUGACGUAUAACCGCACGUCAUCUUCCAUCUUAGGCCAGAAAUAUGAACAUUCCAGCAAUGCCAUCAUCCGUUCCACCCCUGGAUGUCCAGCCCAUUGAGAAUCAUGUGUAUCCCGCAACAAAAUUCUCCGCAAGUCCCCUCUCGAAGGGACAUAUAAUUUCCCACCUCGUGCAUAGAUUAAGUCCUCCUCAACCCAAUAUCUCCGCACCAAGCCUUGCUUGAUCUUCUCGCGGAAUUGGUAAUAGCUUGUAUCCGUUUCCGCUUGCUGCCGAAUCUUGUCAAGAAAAUCCGUUACCACAAUUGUCAAAGCGGCCACAUACGCUUCAACUGUUUUGCGGCUGAGAGCAUCCGCAACCUGAUUUUGCCUUCCCGGCCUAUGUACCCACACAAAGUCAUAUUCGGCAAGGAAUUCUUGCCAUCUUGCUUGUUUUGGUGAUAGCGUUUUCUGCUUCUUGAAAUAAGUAUUAGCAACAUUAUCCGUAACAACAAAAAAAACCGUACCUAGCAAGUAGUGCCUCCAAGUGCUUAGGCAAUGUACCACUGCCGUCAAUUCCUUUUCAUGUGCCGAGUACCUUUGUUCUGCAUCCUUUAGCUUCCGGCUUUCAAAAGCUACCGGGUGGCCAUUUUGAACCAGCACGCCACCAAUGGCCCUAUCCGAUGCAUCUGUAUGUACCUCAAAUGGCAACCUAAAAUCUGGUAGUUUGAGCACCGGCUCCGAAGCUACUGCUUGCUUGAGUUUUUCGAAUGCUUGCUGGCACGCUUCCGUCCAUUCCCACUUUCGAUCUUUCUUUCAACAAGUCUGUGAGUACACUAACCUGUUUUGAGUACUCCUUGAUGAACUUGCGGUAGUAGUUAGCUAGCCCAAGAAACGACUGAAGUUCCGCCACCUUUGUAGGUGUAGGCCAAUUAAGGAUAGCUUUGACCUUCCUCUCAUCCAUGCGAAUUCUACCUUGGCUUACCCGAUGCCCUAAGAAAAUUAUCUCCCGGCGACAAAACUCACAUUUUUCCUUCUUGACAAAUAGUUUGUGCUUCCGUAACCGUGAGAACACUAGUCUAAGGUGAUCCAAGUGAUCCGCCAAAGACUCGUUGUACACAACUAUAUCAUCGAGAUACACCACCACAAAGCGGUCCAAGUACUCAUACAACACAUCAUUAAUUAAAUUACAGAAUAUUGCAGGCGCAUUGGUGAGUCCGAAAGGCAUCACCAAGAACUCAUAUGACCCAUACCGAGUUACACAAGCUGUUUUUGCUUCGUCGCCUUCCGCAAUCCGUACUUGCCAAUAUCUCGAUCUCAAGUCCAGCUUUGUGAAGUAAGAGGCUCUGCCCAAACGAUCAAAAAAAUCUGCAAUGUUAGGGACAUGAUAUUUGUUUUUGAUUGUUACCUUGUUCAAGGCGCGAUAGUCCACACACAUCCGCAUUGAGCCAUCUUGCUUCCUUUGAAAUAAUAUCGGUGCGCCAUAAGGUGCUUUGGAUGGUUGUAUGAAUUCCGCAUCCAGCAACUCAUCCAAUUGUUUUCGAAGUUCCACCAACUCCGAAGGCGACAUCCGAUAUUGGGCCUGCGCAGGGGGUCUCACGCCAGGCUCUAGAUCAAUCCAAUGAUCUACAGCACGUUUCGGUGGUAAGGCUCGAGGGAGCUCCGACGGCAUGACAUUCGCAAACUCUUCCAACACUUGGGCGUACUCAUCAGGCACCUCCACAACCUGAUCAAGUUUUUUCUCCAACAACGCUGCCAAGUAAGAGUUCUCCUUCCGUUUCAAGCCUUUUGCAAAUUGUCCCGCAGAUUGGAGUGAUGGUUCUGAUCUGCCAUGAACCAUAAAAUUGCACGAUACAAUGCAUGACGUCUCCGUACCCAUGAUUAAAAUGCUCUUCCGAUAAGGCAUUAGUUGUACCAUUGCAGCCAUAAAGAAUUCCAUACCAAGGAUUAAAUCAAAAUCAUCAAGAGGCAUGACAGCGAACUUUACUGUUUUCUGCCAAGUUCCGACCCGUAGUGAACUUUGCACAGCCCCUUGGACACCAACACUAGCCGAAUUUACAGCCUUCACUUUGCUACCCACAACCGUUACUUUCAAACCCAAAUGCGCCACUUCAUGGGACGCAAGAAAGUUAGUUGUGGCUCCCGUGUCCAGCAUAGCACGCACUUCCCUCCCAUCCACCAAAACAGUCGUGACCAUCAGCCCUUGAUUGAAGUCAUUGCACACGACUUCCUCCCUCAAAGUAUUCAUCAAUUGUAAAGGGUUCAUUCGAGAAGUACUUGCCUCAUUUAAAGGUUCCGCCUUCAUUUCCUUGACCAUAGCAUUCAACUGUGUCCGCUUUGGGCAAUCCCUCGCCCGGUGUGGUCUGUCACAUAUAAAGCAUCCCGAGCUUUUCUUCUCAUGUCCAUCUUUCGGUUUAGCUUUCCCGCAAAGCCCCCUUUCUUUCCCCUAUCUCGCUUAGAAGGGCCAGCUUUCUUCAAAUCUUUGUUCUUUUUAGGUUCGGAGGGAGAAGAACUCGCAAACCUGAAAUCAACCAAACCUUCCGCAGCAGCAAUCGCCAUCGGCAAGUCACGUACAACCUGCAUUCUCAAUUCGGUUUGCGCCAAUGGUUGCAAACCACUCAUGAAGUUGAAAAGCUUGUCUUCAUCGGACAUGUUCUUGAUAUCAAGCAUCAAAGAACUAAAUUCCUUCACACAUAAUCCCUAAUCGAACUAGUAUGUUUGAGCUUCUUCAAGCCCUCUCUCACUAUCCAGCUCUCGUUACCCGGCAAGAAUUGACCCUUCAACUCUCGCUUCAGUGAUUCCCACGUUUCGAUAGUUAGUCGGUUGGCUUCAGCAUCUUCUUGAAGUCUACUCCGCCACCAAAGCUUUGCAUCCCCCUCAAGAUACAUGCUUGUAAUGGAAACCCGCUCUGCUUUGGGUAUCCGAGCAGCCUUGAAAUAUUGAUCCAUAUCCCACAAGAAGUUCUCCAGCUCUUUGGCACUCCGCGUACCGCCAAAUGGUUUCGGCUCCGGAACCUUUAUUUUCGAAGGCCCUGCCUCUGAAUGUGUAGGGGUUGUGCUCACCGCGCGCUUUAGCAAGCUUAACUCACUUUCAAGGUUGGUGACACUACCCUUUAGCUCCCCCACCAAAGCAGCAACAUCUUCCAUCACCGAACCGAGCUUAUCGGCAACAUCCUUAGUCAACCCUUCAAAAGCCAACUUAAGAUUAGCCAAAUCAAUAGAGAUUACCUCUGUUUUGACAGCCAAAGAUUCCUCUCCGGGCUCUACUUCCCCAACAGCAGCUUCCAUCCGACUCAUUCUAUCUUUCAAUGUGUCUCCCGACAUGUUGAAUCAAGGCUCUGAUACCAAACUGUCAUAAGGCUAUUUUCUUCGAUGCGGCAAACCCGUGAUGGCGCUAAGUUUUCAGCUUAGCCAGCCACUCGACAAUUCGCAACAGAGGCUACGUGUGUGAAACACACCCCAAGAUUUUCAACGAUACAACAACCGAAACACAACACAAACACAAGGCACACGAGAUUUACGGAAGCACCGACUUCCAACCUUUUCCUAUUAAUCAAGAACAAGGAACUACAAAUAGCUUCCAGCAAGAAUGCUUGGAGAAAACCACUCACUGUCUACAAAACUUGGCUCUCCAAGCUCUCCCCCCAUAAUACUACUUAUAGCAUUUGUAAGUGACAGCCCCACUUACUAGGAUAGCAUAGAUUAUUCCCCAACCCAUACCUUGUUUGCCACCAGCACACAUAAACAAAUAAGCCCACUACCUAAGUGCAUUGCCCAUACACUAUUGUUUAGGUUACAUUGAAUAGUGGCGGACCAUCCCCACUUAGACAAGAUCCCUAUUAUAGGUAGUGCCCAUGCAGUGGCGGGCCG
rnacentral:lncRNA from 1 species